GUGGAUAGAGAUGGGCACGCGCAAGAUUAGAUAGUUGGUGAGGUAACGGCUCACCAAGUCUACGAUCUUUAGGGGGCCUGAGAGGGUGAUCCCCCACACUGGUACUGAGACACGGACCAGACUCCUACGGGAGGCAGCAGUGAGGAAUAUUGGACAAUGGGUGAGAGCCUGAUCCAGCCAUCCCGCGUGAAGGACGACGGCCCUAUGGGUUGUAAACUUCUUUUGUAUAGGGAUAAACCUACUCUCGUGAGAGUAGCUGAAGGUACUAUACGAAUAAGCACCGGCUAACUCCGUGCCAGCAGCCGCGGUAAUACGGAGGGUGCAAGCGUUAUCCGGAUUUAUUGGGUUUAAAGGGUCCGUAGGCGGAUGUGUAAGUCAGUGGUGAAAUCUCACAGCUUAACUGUGAAACUGCCAUUGAUACUGCAUGUC
rnacentral:rRNA from 1 species